rnacentral:rRNA from 1 species
UAAGAAUCUUGCGCAAUGGGCGAAAGCCUGACGCAGCAAUUCCGCGUGGGGGACGAAGGCCCUCGGGUCGUAAACCCCUUUUGUGAGGGAAGAAGUUCUGACGGUACCUCACGAAUAAGACACGGCUAACUACGUGCCAGCAGCCGCGGUUAUACGUAGGUGUCGAGCGUUGUCCGGAUUUAUUGGGCGUAAAGAGCCCGCAGGCGGCUUGGUAAGUUCGAGGUGAAAUCUCCCGGCUCAACUGGGAGGGUGCCUCGAAAACUAUCGGGCUUGAGGCAGGGAGAGGGAUGUGUAAUUCCCGGUGUAGUGGUGAGAUGCGUAGAUAUCGGGAGGAACACCAGUGGCGAAGGCGGCAUCCUGGCCCUGUCCUGACGCUCAGGGGCGAAAGCGUGGGGAGCAAACC